AUUAUAACAUUCUUGUUACCAUAUAGUGUUAAGUGUUGCACAAUUUUUGCACUUAAAAUUAAGAAAAUUUUGUCGAACAAAAAUAAGACUAGGUACUCAAAAACGCGAAUAUGUGGUAGAUUUCAGGCCUUGUGUGGUAGAUGCUCACAAACGUGGCAGAUCUAUCACUGUUGAAUAGCUCGAUAUAUGACAAUAUAAAUGUAAAUCAUUCAGUCAUUACAGCGCCGAGCUCAUAAAAGCGAAUUGUGCGAUUAAUCAAUUAAUAUGAGUUAUAAUAAAUUUAAUAAUUUCGCAGACCUAUUGCAAAAUGUGUGGAAACAAAUAUUUUUAAAAGGAAUUGCGUUUUUUUAAACAAUCUGGACACCCUGACCAGACAUUAACUCUGAUCCAAUAGUUUUCGUGUAAAAUCCUGUAAAACUGUCAAAUAGCGAAAUUACUCUCUGAAGUGAGAGUAAAAGGUGUGUAACAACAAAUAGUACGGGAACCAAAAAAAGCAUUUUUCCUGUAAAAACGUCAACCAGUGAUCGCUUAACACUUUUCAUGAUUUUACCAGAAGAAAAAGUUUGGGAUUUUAGAGUGGGGAGCUAUUGAACAACCGGCCCUUAUACCAUGUUCUGACCGACAACGCAAACACUGUGAAAACGAGUUUUUGGAUUGUGAAGUGAAGGCUGUUCACACCGGAUGCCAACCAUUUAACAAUAAAUCCGAAAUGGAGUGUUAAAGAUGAUAAAAUAUGACUUCGAUUUCGAUAGAUAAUCAAAACAAACUAGUGAAGACACCGAUUGGAAUGAGUGAAACGUGCCGUUCGCUAAGGCGAUGGAGGACCAUGAACAAUUGGAGCACUAUGGUCUUUUACUUUUCUUACCGCUCGCAGAUUUACCUAACUUUCACUUUAAAUAAAAAGGCGCACUUUAAUGGAAA